rnacentral:rRNA from 1 species
GAUGAACGCUGGCGGCGUGCCUAAUACAUGCAAGUCGAGCGAACGGACGAGUAGUUGCCUCCUCUGACGUUAGCGGCGGACGGGUGAGUAACACGUGGACAACCCAUCUAUAGGACUGGGACACCGCCGGGAAACCGUAGCUAAUACCUGAUGACAUCUUGAGCCGCAGGGUUACAAAGUGAAAGCCGGCCUUGCUGUCACUCAUAGAUGGAUCCGCGCGGCAUUAGCUAGUUGGUAAGGUAACGGCUUACCAAGGCGACGAUGAGUAGCCGGUCUGAGAGGGUGAUCAGCCACACUGGAACUGAGACACGGUCCAGACUCCUACGGGAGGCAGCAGUGGGGAAUCUUCCGCAAUGGGCGAAAGCCUGACGGAGCAACGCCGCGUGUGUGAUGAAGGUCUUCGGGUCGUAAAACACUGUUGUUAAGAAAGAACACCUGUGUACGUAACUGUGCACGGCAUGACGGUACCUAAUCAGAAAGCCCCGGCUAACUACGUG